GAUGAACGCUAGCGGUAUGCUUAACACAUGCAAGUCGAACGAAAAAGAAAUUUUUAGUGGCGGGCGAGUGAGUAACACGUGAGAAUUUGCCUUUAAGAAGAGGAUAACUAUUAGAAAUAGUGGCUAAAACUCUAUAUGCCUUUACGGGUAAAAAAAGAAAUUUGCUUAAAGAGAAGCUCGCGUCUGAUUAGCUAGUUGGUGGGGUAAAGGCCUACCAAGGCGACGAUCAGUAGCUGGUUUUAGAGGAUGAUCAGCCACGCUGGAACUGAGACACGGUCCAGACUUCUACGGAAGGCAGCAGUGAGGAAUUUUCUACAAUGGACGAAAGUCUGAUAGAGCAAUACCGCGUGCAGGAUGAAGGCCUACGGGUUGUAAACUGCUUUUCUCAAGGAGAAAGAAAUGAUGUUACUUGAGGAAUAAGCAUCGGCUAAUUCUGUGCCAGCCGCCGCCGUAA
rnacentral:rRNA from 1 species